rnacentral:rRNA from 1 species
AGCGAACGCUGGCGGCAGGCCUAACACAUGCAAGUCGAACGAACCUUUCGGGGUUAGUGGCGGGCGGGUGAGUAACACGUGGGAACGUGCCUUUAGGUUCGGAAUAACUCAGGGAAACUUGUGCUAAUACCGAAUGUGCCCUUCGGGGGAAAGAUUAAUCGCCUUUAGAGCGGCCCGCGUCUGAUUAGCUAGUUGGUUGAGGUAAUGGCUCACCAAGGCUACGAUCAGUAGCUGGUCUGAGAGGAUGAUCAGCCACAUUGGGACUGAGACACGGCCCAAACUCCUACGGGAGGCAGCAGUGGGGAAUCUUGCGCAAUGGGCGAAAGCCUGACGCAGCCAUGCCGCGUGAAUGAUGAAGGUCUUAGGAUUGUAAAAUUCUUUCACCGGGGACGAUAAUGACGGUACCCGGAGAAGAAGCCCCGGCUAACUUCGUG